UGGGGAAUUUUCCGCAAUGGGCGAAAGCCUGACGGAGCAAUGCCGCGUGGAGGUGGAAGGCCUACGGGUCGUCAACUUCUUUUCUCGGAGAAGAAACAAUGGCGGUAUCUGAGGAAUAAGCAUCGGCUAACUCUGCGCCAG
rnacentral:rRNA from 1 species